CUGAACUUAGUCACUCCGUUUAUGAAGAGACGGACAAAACACUUUCUUCAUCAAUUGGCGUUGUCGAGCAGCAGGAUUGCAGAACCAGAUCCAGGAGAGACCCACGGCGGCACCAGUAUAAAGCAGAACCCGUGGUGCACAAAACAAAAUGGUAAGGGGAUCCUUUUCCAAAACCCCAUUCAUGGACUGCUUUAUGCUUGGUGCCCCUGCUGUCCCUCUGCGAUGCUGGUAACGUAAACAAUUUAAGAACCUUUUAUUGUGAUGUUCAGUUGGGAGCCUGGUCUUAGCAGACCAGAGUCUGCUAGGCCUCAACAGGAGGAAGAUAAUAGUAGGUUUAGUUUAGGUAGAGUUUUGGUUUGGUAAAUUUGGGUAAUUAAUUGACUUGCUAUUUUUACUUUGUCUAGGUCAGAGUUGGCAAACUCUGAUAGCGUACAAGAACCCUGGUCGCGUGAAGUAUUGAAAAAGUAUGUAAUAUAAUCUGUAUUCUUGAUCUGUGGCAAAGGAUCUGUUAACAGAGAAUACGGACCAUACUCUUGAUCUGAGGUAAAGGAUCUGUUAACAGAGAGUAUGGUUUUACAGAUACAGACCAGGGGUGAACCAAACAAGGAAAGGUAUGUGUUAUUUUUUAAAUGCAUGUUUACAGCUGAAAACUUUAGUUGAACAGAGAUCUUAUGUUGGUUUGAAUUGUAUUAAGUUUAACUGAAUUGUAUUACGUUUUGUGUUGGGCUUUUCUCUUUUGAACAGAGAUCUUAUUGGGACUUUAAUUUUGUUUGAAUUGUAACUGUAUUAAGUUUUGUUUUGGGCUAUUUCUUAAAGACCAAGCACAGUAGGAGGAUAGAGGAUAGUUUGGCUUGAAAAAGGCCAUAUUUGUAGUUCACUACCAUAUGAUAUUGUAGUUCUUUUAUUCUUCAAUAUUGUGACCGUAGACUGUUUUACAGUGCUAUUAGAUUGUGAGACUGUUCUACAGUGCUAUGUGAUUUUGUGACGAAAUUCUAAAGUGCUGUGUGAUUCUUGCCGCAGUAAAUCAUAAGAGUUGGCUACAUAGCCUACAGUUAUGAGAUUUGUUACAGAUACUUUGUAUUCAGAUACAUUUGUUUUCAGUAUGGGUAAUCUAGCUUCCAGUACGGGAGCGAUAGAGACGUUGUUAGUCCAGCCCGAUAUAUGUUUGAUUUACAUGGAAUUCAAGCAGUGUCAAGUAUUGAGAGAUGGCAUGCGUGGAUUAAUCAUGACCCGAGACAUUGUUUUCCGCUGGAGGGAACGUUUGAUGUAAAAAUAUUGGAGUUUAAAAGGUCAUUUUGAAAGACGAGGAGACAAGUCGGACGUGUAAACAAUAUUGCAGCUGGCAAAUGUUGACAUGGUUAACUGAAUCUAAGAGACGAUGUGGCAUUUUCUUGAGAAAGUACGGUCAGAUCAAGCUAAAACUGAUUCUGAUAGAAUGCUAGUCUACUCAGACAGAGACGAGAUGAACAGAAAAGUCAUUGUUAAAAGGUGAUCAGACUGUCAUAGAGUGAGGGAACUCAAGAUAUUGCUUGAACAUGUUAACAUGAAGUUGCUUGAGCAGACUAAUAGAGCAAAAACUAAUUGUGAGAAGUCAGUAGUUGUGAAACAGGCUGAAAGUAGCGUUAAUUCUCAAGGGAAACAAAAGAGUCUACCUAAGACUAGCCUAUUUACCGACGAUAAAGAUGAUGUUGUUGCUAUAGCUGUGGCUAUGCAGAGGAGAGCCAGAGACAGGGAAAAUGCAUUGUUAGGAGAAGCAGCGGGUCAAGUGCAGCCAGCACAGAACUUACAAGAGAAUGUUGAGGUUCAUAUCACAACAAAUAUGAUUGGUGAGGUUAUUCAGGAAUGCCUGUAACUAUCAGUUGAACCCCCAGGUAUCAAUGAACCCUAUGUGUGCAUAUCCAGGCCCUGAUGUAUGACAGCCUCUGUACCUUUAUCGCCCAUGGUCAGUGACUGAGCUGAGGGAGCUAGGAAAGGGAUUUCCUGACGUGAGAAAACUUAAAGCAUACAUUUCUGAUGGUGUUUAAUGGCAGUAAUACUGGAGGGGUGUUGCUUGACUGGAGCAAAGUGUAUGAUCGCAAACAGAGAAAAGGAGGAUCCUAAAGAUUAUAUGGAAAGACUUACUAGGAUGUUUUUGGAAAAAAAACAUUCUGAUUUUACAGCAGCUGCAUCCUCAUGCCAUUUUGUCAUGUGUUCAUAUGUGGAUUGCUUCCUGAACUCCAGAUAGAAAAGAAGAAACAGGUUCUACAUUGGGAGAACAAACCUGUGGAUAUGAUUAUGGAUUAUGCCAAGCAUAAUUGUACACUGAUGCUGGAGAAUGCAGGAAAGAAAGUUGAGAAAUGAACAACAUUGCAAAUGAAUGUCUUACGGAAAGAAAAUAAUAUGUUUAAAGGAAAAGGAGAACCAGGGGCAGACAACAAGGGGAGUAAGAGAUAGACAGGGAUUUGUGCAUACUCUGUAAACAGAUACGCCACAGGGAAAGUGAUUGUCCAGGCACAGUAUAGUACAGUCAGGAUCCUUCAGUCACGUACUCCAUACUACUGUACUCAACCCCUUCCGUUUUCUUCAGAACGAAGAGCUUGCUGAGGCCUGCUCAAGGACACUCAGACAGUAAACAACCACAAUCAUAAUAAUAAUCAAGAAUAGGGGAGGCAGAGAGCUUCUCUUUUUCAAGUAAGAUACAGAGCUACUAGGUCAGCCAGUUCAACUGUAGACAGUACCCGAAAUCAAUGAGAUGGUAGUGGUAGUUUCUGGGGUUCAGGUGGACACAACUGUCAGUUAGCUCUUAUGGGUGGAUAGAUGGAUCUUUGAAUGAUUAUGUAUUUCUUACAACUAUGGGGUGUCAAAUAAAUCUGUUGGAAAGGAAUUUGUUGUGCAAACCGAACCAAAAUGAUAUGCACUACUGAUUUUCUUGUCUAUUCCUUAGGAUAAAGAACACUUGGCCUAGAAAUCCCACACACAUCCCCCAGCAGUGGAAUGCAGAGAUUUUAGCCACAACAUAUGUGGCCUUGCUAGAAGCUGGGCCUGAGCUCCUGUGGUCCACACAAGCUAAUCACAUUGGGCGCAUUAAGAAUGCUACCCCAGUUGUUAUCAUUGUUUGUAGUAAUACUCUUGAGAACCGUACCUCAGUAUGCUAGUAAUAGAGAAGUAGGGAAAGGUAUUGUCCCAGUUAUUGAUGCGUUGUUGAAACAAGGAGUCAUAGGUAGACUUAAGGUCAAUUUGAUCCUUUAAGGCUAAUGAAAUACUUAGAAGUUUAUCAUGGGUUUAUUAGCUGGUAAUGCCUGUGUUAUACAUCCUGUUGUGCCUAACUCUGUUACGAUACUUAGCAAAUAACCCUGUUACUUUCUAGCUCUGUGAAUGACUAUUGUUUUCUUUUCUCUGUUCCCAUUGCAGAAGAGAGCCAGUAUCUGUUUGCAUUCACGUUUCGCCAGGUCUACUAUACAUUUCAGUUCUAUCGCAGGAGUACACUGAAUCACCUAUGUUGUUUAGUCAGGCAUUAUGAGAGGAGCUCCAGGAUGUCACCUUAGCAGCCGGCUCUACUCUGGUGCAGUAUAUUGAUUACCUUUUUGAUAUGUUCUAAGAAUCUUGCCUCCUGCCAACAGGACACUAUUGCUGUGCUACAGGCACUGGCUGAGAAGGGCCACAAGGCCUCAAAGGCAAAACUGCAGUUAUGGUCUUAGGAGGUCAAGUAUCUGGGCCAUACACUCAAAAGGUACAGAGCGUCUAUUGACGCCUGACAGAGUGGAGGCCAUCCGAUGGAUACCUAAGUGUAGAACACCAAAACAACUCAAGACUUUUUCUAGGUUCAGCCGGGUAUUGUCGUUAGUAGAUCCUUGAUUAUGCUGUGUUGGCUAAACCUCUCCUUGAUUUAAGGAAGGAAACUGAUACUCAUUUGUUGUGGAAAACUGUUGCUGAUAAAUGAUUUGUAUCUCUCAAGCAGGCCUUGGCCCAAGCGCCAGCUCUCGGUCUGCCAGACUACACCAGGGUGUACUGACCCAGCAGCAUGGUAAUCUUAAGAGGCCUAUCGCCUAUGUGAGUUCUUCUUUAGAUACUGUGGCAGCAGGUCCCCCCCCCGUGCUUACGAGCAGUCUGUGCUGCGGCAACAUGUGUGGAAGCAACUUCAGAGAUAGUGCUGGGGUCGCCCUUGGCAGUGAUGGUUCCUCAUGCAAUGGAUCUUCGUCCCGAGCAUGGGAUGGCGCUCUAAACUCCGGAUAAGCGGUCUGCACGGACAGUGAGACAUUCGAAUCUGGUAAACAGUCUCCACAAUGCACUGCACAGCAGUUAGAGUUUUGCUUUGACAAGGGCAUGUUGUUUGUCAGAAGGCAAGGUCGUAAAUAUUCACACUGACUCGAGGUAUGGAUUUAGAGUUACUCACAAUUUUGGUGCCAUAUGGCCAGAAAGAGGUUUCAUUAACUCCUCAGGUGGAGCAAUUAAGAAUGGAAAGAUGAUUUGAUAAUUUAAUACUACUACUGAGAAAGCUAGCUAUUGUUAAGUGUGAGGCUCAUACUAACAAUACAGAAAAAUGUUUCAAGAGGAAAUGCUAGAGCUGAUGUUGCAGCAAAGGCUGCGGCCCAUUGAUGUGUCCCAGGUCUCUAUUUGUUUUUUGUGUCUCAGCAACCGGAAACGCGCACUUCCUCUCUUCAUGUUGUGGUGGACCUUCAUGUCGCUGCUGAUAACACUGAGAGGGAUGGUUGGUUAUCUGUUGGCUGUGUGAAAGAUUCCAUGUGCAUUGUUCCCUUGGUUGGCUCGCAUGGCACACGGAUGUGCCCAUACGAUCAAGGGGGGUAUGGUCUAAAUAGUAAAUACAGAUUGUCUGAUUGACUGGUUUUUCCACAAAGGCUGAACAACAUUGUGCUCAGUGUCAUAUUUACCAGCAGCAUAAUCCCGAAAAGGGACCAAAGAGAAGAGACGCAGCCCACCCACCACCAAGUGGUCCUUUUAUUAAUUUACAAAUAGAUUUUAUGCAGAUGAACAAGUGUUGUAAUUUUGAAUGUGUAAUUGUAACUGUUGUCAUGUUCUCAAAAUGGGUAGAAGCCUACCCAUGUUGGAAAGUUGAUGCUACCACGGUAGCCAAGAUUUUAUUAUUAGAGAUGUGAUCUGUAGAAAUGGGAUCCUCACGAGACUGUCCAGUGAUAGAGGUUCACAUUUUAUGGGUCAAAAUUGUUCAGGAACUUUGUAAAGCGCUCCAGAUCAACCGGCAUUUCCACUGUCCCUACCACCCACAGUCUGCGGCCUGGGGCAGUGGAGAGGCAACAUGGAACUUGAGAAAACAAACUAGCCAAGAUAUGUGAACAGACAGGCCUGAAGUGGCCUGAUGCACUUCCACUAGCUCUUAUGGCCAUGAGGUCCACUCCCCAGAGGAGGAAUGGACUUUCCCCACACAAGAUAUAUUGUGGGGGGACCAAUGAGAUUGCCUGUAUCUCCCACCAUCAUUGAUACAGAUGGAUAUCCACCAGAUGGAUGAUACAAUGUUAAACUUUUGUUACGCCCUUCCUAGAGCAGCCAGGGUUGUGCAUUCACAGGUGAAAGCUGCCCUGCCUGGGGAGCCAUGUCAUCCCUAUCAACCGGGAGACUACGUGUACGUGAAAGUGCACAAACGGAGGACUGCCUCUCACCGAGAUGGAGCAGUCCAUAGCUGUUUAUCUUGGUGACUCACAGCUGUGAAAGUGGAGGGUUGUCCGACAUGGAGCCAUGCGACACACUGCGAAACAGCCCCUCCACCGAACAACACGGUGGAGGGUUUCAACGGAGAGCCAGGGACCGGUGGAGGAGCAGGUGCACCUCCAAAUGGUGCCUGCUCCAACUUCAUUUGUCUCAUCCCCACUGGGUUACUCUUCCAGGAGUACACCAAGGGGGGUGGAGACCCGUUUGCAGCAGCUGAUCCUGGAGCAGGUUCCAGUCCAGCGGACUGAUUUGAGCCAGAACCAGGACCCCGCCAUCCAGCACUCCAAUCCAGGGGUGCCGAGAAGGAGGUCCCAAAGAGCACCCACCCGGAGGUGUUGAAGACGUCGAAAGGUGAGUCACAUGUGGAGAAAGCCAGAGAGGGGCUGCUGUUGCUACCAUGCCUCUCUCCCCCAUGUGUGAUUCAUGAAGCAGAUGACAGCACCCAGACGGGAAACCAGAGAGAUGAGCCUGGAGAGGGGAA